rnacentral:rRNA from 1 species
AUGGAAUUAAAAUCUGAUAAGUGGACUAAUCGAGAUGUUACAACAUGGAAAAGAGAAGAAUAUAUUAAGAGCAGUCUUCAAACGGAUGGGUCAUCUUGUGGUCUCUGGAUGUUAAAUUAUAUGGAGUACUUCACGGGAGAUAGUUUGUCCGACACUCUCGAACAGGUUUAUAUGACAGAUUUUAGAACAAAAUUAGCUAUCAUUUUAGUCGACUUGGAAUUCAAUGAUGGCGAUAUAAGAAACCGAGACAUGGAUGAUGAUGAAACCAACACGGAUCCCAACGAUUGUAUGAUUGUCGAAAGACCUCCUAACAAACCGAGAGCAUCCAACUCAUAG